GUUUUCUUGUUCAUGUUUACUGUGACAGUGAGCUCUUACAGCACAGUGUCUGCUGUAGGGCAGCUUUUCCACAAUCUUCACACAUCUGAUACUUCAGCUGUUAUUACACAGAAGAGGAGAUUUAAUGGUGUGACUACAGUGCAAGCAACUGUUUACUUCUUUUAAUCAGCUUGUUACUUUUCACUAGUUAUUAAAUAAAACACUAUAAUAAAAUUGUCACUUAUCUUUGAAGUGAUGCUUCACCAAAUACACUUUGUUCCUUAAAACUAUUUUAAAAGAGGGAAGGUGAAAUAUCCUUGUGUACCAAGAAAUUACAAGACCAAUUGUAAUACUAGGAUUUGCUUUUUCCAUUUUUGUACAAUCUUGUAUUCUAUAGUUGACUGAUGGGUGAAUGUCCAGAACAUCUCUGAAGCCCAGGAGGGAGGGAACUUGUAGAUCAGAUUAAUGUGAAGAAGGAGGAGAUAUAAACUAGUGGGACUCAGAACUGGUGAAUAGUCAAAGCUCAGAGACUCCUUUCUUUUAACACUGAAGGCUGCAAAAAUGAAGAUGAAGAUUCCGUUCAUGUCUCUGGUUCUUGCCUUGAUGCUGAUGAGUGGUUCUGCUUUGGGAUGUUACUACUGUAACUCGAACACUACUGGCAAAUGUAAUCCAAAGAAUGAUAUACUGUAUGCACAGAUACAGAGGAAAUCUGUGCCAGUGGUCAAUUCUCUAACUUACCCAGUAUGUCUCUUAUUGCUUUCAUUCAUGAUCAUUGCUUCUGAGACAGUAAACAUAACAUAGACCACUAAAACAUGUUAAUUGGUUGUCAAUAAACAUUUGCACUUAUUGCCAA